UCCUGGCUCAGAGUGAACGCUGGCGGCAGGCCUAAUACAUGCAAGUCGAACGGCAGCACAGCUUAAGCUUGCUUAAGUGGGUGGCGAGUGGCGGACGGGUGAGGAAUACAUGGGAAUCUGCCCAGUCGUGGGGGAUAACGUAUGGAAACGUACGCUAAUACCGCAUGCGCCCUACGGGGGAAAGCCGGGGACCUUCGGGCCUGGCGCGAUUGGAUGAGCCCAUGUUCGAUUAGCUAGUUGGCGGGGUAAAGGCCCACCAAGGCGACGAUCGAUAGCUGGUCUGAGAGGAUGAUCAGCCACACUGGGACUGAGACACGGCCCAGACUCCUACGGGAGGCAGCAGUAGGGAAUAUUGGACAAUGGGCGCAAGCCUGAUCCAGCCAUGCCGCGUGAGUGAAGAAGGCCCUCGGGUUGUAAAGCUCUUUUGUCCGGAAAGAAAAGCAUUCGGUUAAUACCCGGGUGUUCUGACGGUACCGGAAGAAUAAGCACCGGCUAACUUC
rnacentral:rRNA from 1 species